CGAAGAAACCGUCCCACCGUCUAAUUUCAGGAGAUACCUGGGAAUCUCCCUUCCCGGAGGGGGGGAGGGGAGAAAGAGGAGGAAGAAGCUUUGACUCCCUUAAUAAAAAUGGCUCUCCCGACUUCCCUUUCCUGCCGCUCUGCGAACAUCACUUCCAGAGCGAGUUGAGGGUGGAGCGCCAACGGGAGAAGCUGGGAAUGGCGCUGGUAAACUGCCGAACUCUGGAAUGGUUCUACUCGCUGAUUCUUCUUGCUAUUGUAUUGCUUUCAUGGGGCUACGUCAUUUACGCAACUCGAAUAGCAGCCAAAUGGCACUUAAAGGAGAUGUAUCCCACACAAGCCCAGAAUAUUUAAGACACCUUCAGAGUGAAAUACCACAGAAAUACAAGCACAUUCUAUAAUUCCAUAAAUAAUAAUCUGCAAAAACUUGCAUUCCAAACUAGAGUGGCUAAGCUGCAGGAGUAUUGAAGCUUCAGAAAUAGAUUUAGUGUUGUAAUACUUAACACUAAUAAUGUAUAAUUGAGAAAAAUUGGGAAAAUAUCCUUGAAUAUCUUAUUUUUUAAAAAGAGAAAUGUACUGUUCAGGCUGGAGCAAAGUAUUGCAGGCAGUCUACAAACCCAGAUUACAGAAUGCAGCAGUCUUCUGAAUGAAUAAAUGAUUCCAGAGCUGAUAUGGAAAGUCAGCCUUAUGAAAGACAUUAAGAAACUGAUCAAGAAGCCAGUUUGGCAGCAGAUCAAGAAGUCAACCUAACAGUAGAUCAGGAACUUCCAGGCGUCCUGAUAGAGGACAUUCUGCAAAGAUAUAUGAGGAAAGGAAAUAUAAAAGGCAAUUACUAGGAGAGGACCCACAGAGUUAACAAAGAAACCUCUUCUGCAAGAGAAAGCAAUGCUCUAAAGACAUCCUUACCAAAGCAUUAGGCCAUUUGUGGAAAAACUGCUAGCAAUGCAGACAGGCUCUCCCAUUAAUAUUGAACAACAUAUAAUAAUGCAUAAUUUAAUGUUUGAUCUAGAAAGCCAGGCAUGUGCUAAUUAAUUACAGCUUUUCUUAUUCCAAAGUAAGGAACACUUCUUAUAUGAGUUUAUCAACUUUGCUAGAUGCCCUUUUACUAUAGAUGCGUAUGAUGAGCAUGAAAAUUAUGACUGUUCAGCUCCAGCAAGUAAAAAGGGAAGCAACUCAGUCUUCUAUUACUACCAUAUCUCCUGAUGAAACUGAAACCCAAAUACCUGAACAUAAUGCUUUCAGGCACCCUGGGAUGAUGAAAUGCCAGGCUCAUCUUAUUCCAAUUUAGAGCAAAUUCAUGCUUCUCCAUCUACUGUUUUAGACACUUCUGCAAGCUGUGAUGAAAACCCUUCUGCAAACAACGGUUGCAGAUGUCACAAGAAGCAAAAAUAGAAAUGAAUGAUGACAGCUGUGAUUUUUUUGACAACUUGUUGACUAUGUAAAACCAUUAUGAAGUAAAGACUCAGUGACGAGGACAGCCAUACAUCUGGAUCCUGAUGGCCAGCAACCCUGUGGCAGGCCCAAGAAAAGGGGGAUGGAUUGCAUCGAAGAGGACAUGAAAUACAUGGGUGUUGCCCCUAAAGAUGCGCUGGAUCGAGCCAAAUGGAGAAGACCCUGCCAUACCGCAGGAGUAGCACUAGAAGAAAGAGCAACCUAUCCAACUGCGCAGCUUUAGUGCCACAGAUGUUAGUAGAUCUGCAUCACCAUUCUCUGUUGGUUCCAGAGAUGGUGCUGUCAAUCAUAAGAACAAUGAAUGUCUCUCCUCAGUGAGAGAAGAAAAUCUAAGAGGAGUGAAAAAGAUGAAGAUAAAUUAAGAGAAGUGUCUUAAAUAAAUAUUUUUUGUUAAAUAUUCUUAGAAAUCUUAUUUUUCCUCUUUGUUACAAGUUUUUGCUUUGUAUGUUAACCAAUAUUUUAGGUGUCUCUGUGCAUUUUGUUUACUUUAUAUAGCUGGAUGAAAAGGCCUUAGUUUUUAUAGUUUUUAAUGUUUUAAUAGUUAUUGUUUACUAUUGUUUCUAACUUUGUUGUAAGGCAUAAGGAAUAAGUCAUUUUAUGAAAUAAAUUAAUUAAAAUAUGACCUUGAAGUC